rnacentral:rRNA from 1 species
GCCAGACUCCUACGGGAGGCAGCAGUGGGGGAUAUUGCACAAUGGGGGAAACCCUGAUGCAGCGACGCCGCGUGGGUGAAGGAGUGCUUCGGCAUGUAAAGCCCUAUCGGCAGGGAAGAAGCAAGACGGUACCUGACUAAGAAGCCCCGGCUAACUACGUGCCAGCAGCCGCGGUAAUACGUAGGGGGCAAGCGUUAUCCGGAUUUACUGGGUGUAAAGGGAGCGUAGACGGUUAUGUAAGUCUGGAGUGAAAGCCCGGGGCCCAACCCCGGGACUGCUUUGGAAACUGUGUAACUGGAGUACAGGAGGGGCAGGCGGAAUUCCUGGUGUAGCGGUGAAAUGCGUAGAUAUUAGGAGGAACACCAGUGGCGAAGGCGGCCUGCUGGACGGUGACUGACGCUGAGGCUCGAAAGCGUGGGGAGCAAACAGGAUUAGAUACCCGAGUAUC